rnacentral:rRNA from 1 species
UUCCGGUUGAUCCUGCCGGACCUGACUGCUAUCGGAUUGAUACUAAGCCAUGCAAGUCUUUGUAGUAAUACAAGGCAUACGGCUCAGUAACGCGUAGUCAACCUACCCUAUGGAUGGGGAUAAUCUCGGGAAACUGAGCAUAAUACCCAACAGAUCAUCAAUUCUGGAAUGGUUGAUGAUUCAAAUGAUUUUUCGCCAUAGGAUGGGACUGCGACCUAUCAGCUUGUUGGUGAGGUAAUGGCCCACCAAGGCAAUUACAGGUACGGGCUCUGAGAGGAGAAGCCCGGAGAUGGGUACUGAGACAAGGACCCAGGCCCUAUGGGGCGCAGCAGGCGAGAAAACUUUGCAAUGUGCGAAAGCACGACAAGGUUAAUCCGAGUGAUUUCUGCUAAAGGAAUCUUUUACCAGUUCUAAAAAUACUGGCGAAUAAGGGGUGGGCAAGUUCUGGUGUCAGCCGCCGCGGUAAAACCAGCACCUCAAGUGGUCAGGAGGAUUAUUGGGCCUAAAGCAUCCGUAGCCGGCUCUGUAAGUUUUCGGUUAAAUCUAUAUGCUCAACGUAUAGGCUGCCGAAAAUACUGCACAGCUAGGGAAUGGGAGAGGUAGACGGUACUCGGUAGGAAGGGGUAAAAUCCUUUGAUCUAUCGAUGACCACCUGUGGCGAAGGCGGUCUACCAGAACAUGUUCGACGGUGAGGGAUGAAAGCUGGGGGAGCAAACCGGAUUAGAUACCCGGGUAGUCCCAGCUGUAAACGAUGCAGACUAGAUAAUGCACUGGCACAUAGCCAGUGCAGUGUCUCAGGGAAGCCGUUAAGUCUGCCGCCUGGGAAGUACGUACGCAAGUAUGAAACUUAAAGGAAUUGGCGGGGGAGCACCACAAGGGGUGAAGCCUGCGGUUCAAUUGGAUUCAACGCCGGG